AACGUAGGACGCAAGCGUUAUCCGGAUUUACUGGGCGUAAAGCGCGGGCAGGCGGCUCGAAGCGUCUGAUGUGAAAUCUCCUCGCUCAACGGGGAGAGGCCAUUGGAAACGGUCGAGCUGGAGGGCAGUAGAGGUAGGCGGAAUUCCGGGUGGAGUGGUGAAAUGCGUAGAGAUGUGGAGGAAUACCGAUGGCGAAGGCAGCCCCCUGGGAUAACACUGACGCUCAUGCACGAAAGCGUGGGGAGCAAACAGG
rnacentral:rRNA from 1 species